rnacentral:rRNA from 1 species
AUUGUACGCUGGCGGCAUGCUUUACACAUGCAAGUCGAACGGCAGCGCGGGCUUCGGCCUGGCGGCGAGUGGCGAACGGGUGAGUAAUACAUCGGAACGUGCCCAGUAGUGGGGGAUAGCUCGGCGAAAGCCGGAUUAAUACCGCAUACGACCUGAGGGUGAAAGCGGGGGAUCUUCGGACCUCGCGCUAUUGGAGCGGCCGAUGGCAGAUUAGCUAGUUGGUGGGGUAAAGGCCUACCAAGGCGACGAUCUGUAGCUGGUCUGAGAGGACGACCAGCCACACUGGGACUGAGACACGGCCCAGACUCCUACGGGAGGCAGCAGUGGGGAAUUUUGGACAAAGGGCGAAAGCCUGAUCCAGCAAUGCCGCGUGUGUGAUGAAGGCCUUCGGGUUGUAAAGCACUUUUGGCGGGAACGAAAAGGACUGUGCCAAUACCACGGUUCGAUGACGGUACCCGCAGAAUAAGCACCGGCUAACUACGUG